GUCCCUAUCGUCUAGUGGUUUAGGACAAAGCACUUUCGAUGCUUAAACACGAGUUCGAGUCUCGUUGGGGAUA
rnacentral:tRNA from 1 species